AUUGAACGCUGGCGGCAGGCUUAACACAUGCAAGUCGAGCGGUAGCACAAGAGAGCUUGCUCUCUGGGUGACGAGCGGCGGACGGGUGAGUAAUGUCUGGGAAACUGCCUGAUGGAGGGGGAUAACUACUGGAAACGGUAGCUAAUACCGCAUAACGUCGCAAGACCAAAGAGGGGGACCUUCGGGCCUCUUGCCAUCAGAUGUGCCCAGAUGGGAUUAGCUAGUAGGUGGGGUAAUGGCUCACCUAGGCGACGAUCCCUAGCUGGUCUGAGAGGAUGACCAGCCACACUGGAACUGAGACACGGUCCAGACUCCUACGGGAGGCAGCAGUGGGGAAUAUUGCACAAUGGGCGCAAGCCUGAUGCAGCCAUGCCGCGUGUGUGAAGAAGGCCUUCGGGUUGUAAAGCACUUUCAGCGAGGAGGAAGGUGGUGAACUUAAUACGUUCAUCAAUUGACGUUACUCGCAGAAGAAGCACCGGCUAACUCCGUGCCAGCAGCCACGGUAAUACGGAGGGUGCAAGCGUUAAUCGGAAUUACUGGGCGUAAAGCGCACGCCAGGCGGUUUGUUAAGUCAGAUGUGAAAUCCCCGGGCUCAACCUGGGAACUGCAUUUGAAACUGGCAAGCUAGAGUCUCGUAGAGGGGGGUAGAAUUCCAGGUGUAGCGGUGAAAUGCGUAGAGAUCUGGAGGAAUACCGGUGGCGAAGGCGGCCCCCUGGACGAAGACUGACGCUCAGGUGCGAAAGCGUGGGGAGCAAACAGGAUUAGAUACCCUAGUAGUCCACGCUGUAAACGAUGUCGAUUUGGAGGUUGUGCCCUUGAGGCGUGGCUUCCGGAGCUAACGCGUUAAAUCGACCGCCUGGGGAGUACGGCCGCAAGGUUAAAACUCAAAUGAAUUGACGGGGGCCCGCACAAGCGGUGGAGCAUGUGGUUUAAUUCGAUGCAACGCGAAGAACCUUACCUACUCUUGACAUCCAGAGAACUUUCCAGAGAUGGAUUGGUGCCUUCGGGAACUCUGAGACAGGUGCUGCAUGGCUGUCGUCAGCUCGUGUUGUGAAAUGUUGGGUUAAGUCCCGCAACGAGCGCAACCCUUAUCCUUUGCUGCCAGCGGUUCGGCCGGGAACUCAAAGGAGACUGCCAGUGAUAAACUGGAGGAAGGUGGGGAUGACGUCAAGUCAUCAUGGCCCUUACGAGUAGGGCUACACACGUGCUACAAUGGCAUAUACAAAGAGAAGCGACCUCGCGAGAGCAAGCGGACCUCAUAAAGUAUGUCGUAGUCCGGAUUGGAGUCUGCAACUCGACUCCAUGAAGUCGGAAUCGCUAGUAAUCGUAGAUCAGAAUGCUACGGUGAAUACGUUCCCGGGCCU
rnacentral:rRNA from 1 species